rnacentral:lncRNA from 1 species
AAAAUUCACACACCUAAUUAAAUGGGCAUUUAAAAAGUCAGAAUGUGAAUAUAUAUGUUCAAACUCUUUUAGGUCAUUUUUUAGUGGCAAUAAACAAAAAAACUAUGUCAAUUGGACAUGCUUUGAUACUAUAUAUGCCCUUGAAUUUUUACUAGAUAACAUUUUUGUUUGCUUUGGGGAUUCCGUAUAUCGUCAGAUUAUCGGAAUUCCAAUGGGGACUAACUGUGCACCACUUAUUGCGGAC